UGAGGAAUCUUGCACAAUGGGCGAAAGCCUGAUGCAGCGAUGCCGCGUGAGGGAUGAAGGCCUUCGGGUCGUAAACCUCUUUCAGUAGGGAAGAAGCCCGGGGUCACCCGGGUGACGGUACCUGCAGAAGAAGCCCCGGCUAACUACGUGCCAGCAGCCGCGGUAAAACGUAGGGGGCAAGCGUUGCCCGGAUUCACUGGGCGUAAAGCGCGUGUAGGCGGUCCGUUAAGUCGGGUGUGAAAUCUCCAGGCUCAACCUGGAAAGUGCACCCGAUACUGGCGGACUUGAGGACGGUAGAGGUCGGUGGAAUGCCGAGUGUACCGGUGAAAUGGACAGAUAUUCGGCGGAACACCAGUGGCGAAGGCGGCCGACUGGGCCGUUCCUGACGCUGAGACGCGAAAGCCAGGGGAGCGAACCG
rnacentral:rRNA from 1 species